CAAAAACAUGGCUUUUUGUAGAUGAUUUAAGGUCUGACCUGCCCAAUGAUUAUAUUUAAAUGGCUGCAGUAUUUUGACUGUACAAAGGUAGCAUAAUCAUUAGUUUCUUAAUUAGAAGCUGGUAUGAAUGGUUUGAUGAGAAGUUGACUGUCUCAAUUUAAUUGAUUUAGAAUUUUAUUUUUAAGUGAAAAAGCUUAAAUUUUUUAGGAAGACGAGAAGACCCUAUAGAGUUUAAUAUAUUUUUAGUUAUUAAUUAUUUGUUUUUAAUAUUUUUAACUUGUUAAUGUAUUUUGUUGGGGUGACGUGAAAAUUAAUUUAACUUUUUUAUAUUUUUACACUGAUUAGUGAAUUUAUGAUCCUUUCUUGGAUUACAAGAUUAAAUUACCUUAGGGAUAACAGCGUAAUUUUUUUUGAAAGUUCUUAUUGAUAAAAAAGUUUGCGACCUCGAUGUUGGAUUAAAAUUAAUUUUUGGUGUAGAAGCUGGAAAAUUAGGUCUGUUCGACCUUUAAAAUUUUACAUGAUCU
rnacentral:rRNA from 1 species